rnacentral:rRNA from 1 species
GAGUUUGAUCCUGGCUCAAAACGAGCGCUGGGGGCGUGCUUAACACAUGCAAGUCAAACGAGGCUGAACCUUCGUUUCCGGCCAAGUGGCAAACGGGUGAGUAACACGUGAGGAACCUGCCCCGGAGACCGGGAUAACCAGGGGAAACUCUGGCUAAUACCGGAUGCCCCCGGAUGGUCGGAUGGCCAACCGAGGAAACGCUCCGGUGCUCCAGGAGGGCCUCCCGGCCUAUAAUAUUGUUGGGGGGGUAACGGCCUACCAAGGCAUCAACGGCUAUCUGUUCUGAGAGGACGAUCAGCCACACUGGGACUGAGACACGGCCCAGACUCCUACGGGAGGCAGCAGUGGGGAAUAUUGCGCAAUGGGCGAAAGCCUGACGCAGCAACGCCGCGUGGGGGAUGAAUGCCUUCGGGUUGUAAACCCCUUUCAGCGGGGACGAAAAUGCCGGUACCUGCAGAAGAAGCCCCGGCCAAAUACGUGCCAGCAGCCGCGGUAACACGUAGGGGGCAAGCGUUGUCCGGAUUUAUUGGGCGUAAAGAGCUCGUAGGCGGUUGCGUAAGUCGGAUGUGAAAACUCAGGGCUCAACCCGGAGACGCCAUCCGAUACUGCGCUGACUAGAGUCCGGUAGAGGAGCAUGGAAUUCCUGGUGUAGCGGUGAAAUGCGCAGAUAUCAGGAGGAACACCAGUGGCGAAGGCGGCGCUCUGGGCCGGCACUGACGCUGAGGAGCCAAAGCGUGGGUAGCGAACAGGAUUAGAUACCCUGGUAGUC